UGCAGUCGAGCGGUAACAGAUCCNGCUUGCUGGAUGCUGACGAGCGGCGGACGGGUGAGUAAUGCAUAGGAAUCUGCCCGAUAGUGGGGGAUAACCUGGGGAAACCCAGGCUAAUACCGCAUACGUCCUACGGGAGAAAGGGGGCUCCGGCUCCCGCUAUGGGAUGAGCCUAUGUCGGAUUAGCUAGUUGGUGAGGUAACGGCUCACCAAGGCGACGAUCCGUAGCUGGUCUGAGAGGAUGAUCAGCCACAUCGGGACUGAGACACGGCCCGAACUCCUACGGGAGGCAGCAGUGGGGAAUAUUGGACAAUGGGCGAAAGCCUGAUCCAGCCAUGCCGCGUGUGUGAAGAAGGCCCUCGGGUUGUAAAGCACUUUCAGCGAGGAAGAACGCCUAGCGGUUAAUACCCGCUAGGAAAGACAUCACUCGCAGAAGAAGCACCGGCUAACUCCGUGCCAGCAGCCGCGGUAAUACGGAGGGUGCAAGCGUUAAUCGGAAUUACUGGGCGUAAAGCGCGCGUAGGUGGCUUGAUAAGCCGGUUGUGAAAGCCCCGGGCUCAACCUGGGAACGGCAUCCGGAACUGUCAAGCUAGAGUGCAGGAGAGGAAGGUAGAAUUCCCGGUGUAGCGGUGAAAUGCGUAGAGAUCGGGAGGAAUACCAGUGGCGAAGGCGGCCUUCUGGACUGACACUGACACUGAGGUGCGAAAGCGUGGGUAGCANACAGGAUUAGAUACCCUGGUAGUCCACGCCGUAAACGAUGUCGACCAGCCGUUGGGUGCCUAGCGCACUUUGUGGCGAAGUUAACGCGAUAAGUCGACCGCCUGGGGAGUACGGCCGCAAGGUUAAAACUCAAAUGAAUUGACGGGGGCCCGCACAAGCGGUGGAGCAUGUGGUUUAAUUCGAUGCNACGCGAANAANCUUACCUACUCNUGACAUCCUGCNAA
rnacentral:rRNA from 1 species